ensembl:lncRNA
CAUAGCAUAAAUAAACCCCAUUAACAAUUCAACCAAUGGAAGGUCCUCGCAAGGGUAGUCAGACGUGUACGUGUGUGUGUUUGCGUGGAUGAAUAUCUCAGAACAGAUUCUGUCAGGCUUUAACGGUUUGCUCCGGUCAACGGCGUUAAGUCACAUCAGAUAACCGGUAAAGGUUCAAGACGUCUGAUUAUUACUUUAGAUCUGCUCUCCUGCCUGCCUGCUCUUUCAUCUGGCAACCACAUCAGCUCAGUGAAGUGCUCCAGAGCUUUCUCCAGCACUCAUUCACGUGGAAGUAGUACACACACACCAUGAUAAUUACCAGUCAUGACCGCUCAGCGUCAUGUGUUUUUCUCCCCAAAGCAUGUCCCUCUGUGUUUACUCAGCCAUGUGUGUGGUUUCUGUAACUCAGCCCCGUGUGUAACGUCUCUCAUCGACACGUCGGCGAGUUUUCACUUCGGUUAAUGUUUUCCUACACUACCCACUACGCCAUCCGACCGCCUGCUGAUCGUGGCGCCACCGGGAACAUCUCCUCAUCUCUGUUUAACGAGAGCGGUUGCAGCGGCGCUUUAGUCCUUUCGUAUGUCCAGGUCUCUCUCGCCUCCGCAUCCAAACAGAACUUCGCGGCCGUCGUCCUGUAGAUCUCCGACUAGCCGGGCGGAUUCUCCGCCGUAACUCGGCGAAGCGACAUCGUAUAACCGCGCUGCAUUCUGGGACUCCGAGUCCAGCGUUUGCUUCGCCGUGUUGGAUUUCUUAUUAAUAUUGUGAGUGGGGAAAAUAUCUCUUUUGUUUUCCCAAAUAUUGAGUAUAUUUAUGCAUUGCCUUUCCAUGACCGAUAUUCUGUAAAUGGUGCAGGGGCCAAAGGUCAUUAGGUAACCUGAUGCAGGACGUGCAUGCACCUGUCCAUCGUGACUCCAUGGAUCGUAAAUAAAUUAUUUUAUCAUUCAGGUUGGCGAGUCUCGUGAACUUUGCUCUAAGGCGUUCAGUGUUUUCGGGAAUUUAUGACAGACUUCAAAUAUUUCCCUUUUUUUUUUUUUCUUUUUUUUUUUCCGGUUGUCUAUUUAAAGUAACAUCCAGUGACACGCAAUCACGACAAAACAAACAACCAAAGUGCAGAACGCAUCAGAGGAAGAACAGGGUAUCCGUUAUUCAUUUUUGCUCGUGUUGUACGCUCGCUAUCCAACCAUUUUUUUGCCUUUAUUUUCGUGGCACUCGUCGGUGGAAAUUAUUAGGAGCAAAAUGUCCGUGUGCAGUGAACACGUCGAGAGUGAAGGUGCUGCAGCUGUGUGUCUGAUCUGAUCACGCGAGCCUCGUUCGCAGGAGGAAGAUCUCCUAAUAUUUCUCGAUUUCGUGAACGUAACUGAAUUUGAAUGCGGCCAUCUAGACUGUCUGCCUCACAAAAUGCCUUGAAGCAUCAUCUGUGUGUGUGUGUGCGCGUGUGUGUGUGCGUGACAUAAACACAUACACGAUGGACUUGACUGUUAUAUGAAUAGAUACAGGUAUAACUUAUGAAUGAGAGAGACAGAGAGUGAGUGAGAGAGAGAUACUGAGAGAGAUAGUGUGAGAGCGAGAGAGUGAGAGAGAUAGUGAGUGUGUGUGUGAGAGAGAUAGUGAGUGUGAGAGAGAUAGUGAGAGAGAUAGUGAGAAGAGAUAGUGAGUGUGAGAGAGAGAUAGUGAGUGUGAGAGAGAUAGUGAGAGAGAUAGUGAGUGUGAGAGAGAGAUAGUGAGAGAGAGAUAGUGAGAUAGUGAGUGUGAGAGAGAGAUAGUGAGAGAGAGAGAGAUAGUGAGUAAGAGAGAGAUAGUGAGAGAGAGAUAGUGAGUGUGAGAGAGAUAGUGAGUGUGAGAGAGAGAGAUAGUGAGUGUGAGAGAGAGAGAUAGUGUGUGAGAGAGAGAGAUAGUGUGUGUGAGAGAGAGAUAGUGAGUGAGAGAGAGAGAUAGUGAGUGUGAGAGAGAGAUAGUGAGUGUGAGAGAGAGAGAUAGUGUGUGAGAGAGAGAGAGAUAGUGUGUGAGAGAGAGAUAGUGUGAGAGAGACAGAGAGAGAGAAUUUCUAUUACGACUGGAAGAUAUAAUGUUGAUAAUAUCGUCACGUCUGUAACACUGAUACUGAGUAACACCUUCAUUGUUCCUCACUAAUUACUA